AUACGGAGGGUGCGAGCGUUAAUCGGAAUUACUGGGCGUAAAGCGCGCGUAGGCGGUUUGUUAAGUCGGAUGUGAAAUCCCCGGGCUCAACCUGGGACCUGCAUCCGAUACUGGCAGGCUAGAGUCUGGUAGAGGGGGGUAGAAUUCCUGGUGUAGCGGUGAAAUGCGUAGCUAUCAGGAGGAAUACCAGUGGCGAAGGCGGCCCCCUGGACUGAGACUGACGCUGAGGUGCGAAAGCGUGGGGAGCAAACAGGAUUAGAAACCCUAGUAGUCC
rnacentral:rRNA from 1 species